rnacentral:rRNA from 1 species
UAGGGAAUAUUGGACAAUGGGCGAAAGCCUGAUCCAGCCAUGCCGCGUGAGUGAUGAAGGCCUUAGGGUUGUAAAGCUCUUUCAGCGGGGAAGAUAAUGACGGUACCCGCAGAAGAAGCCCCGGCUAACUUCGUGCCAGCAGCCGCGGUAAUACGAAGGGGGCUAGCGUUGCUCGGAAUCACUGGGCGUAAAGCGCACGUAGGCGGCUUUCUAAGUCAGGGGUGAAAUCCUGGAGCUCAACUCCAGAACUGCCUUUGAUACUGGAAAGCUUGAGUUCGGGAGAGGUGAGUGGAACUGCGAGUGUAGAGGUGAAAUUCGUAGAUAUUCGCAAGAACACCAGUGGCGAAGUCGGCUCACUGGCCCGAUACUGACGCUGAGGUGCGAAAGCGUGGGGAGCAAACA